CGCGUAGGCGGUCGAUCACGUCCGGGGUGAAAUCUUUCGGCUCAACCGGAAAAGUGCCUUGGAUACGGAUCGGCUGGAGGGAGGUAGGGGCAAGCGGAACUUCCGGUGGAGCGGUGAAAUGCGUUGAUAUCGGAAGGAACGCCGGUGGCGAAAGCGGCUUGCUGGACCUCUUCUGACGCUGAUGCGCGAAAGCUAGGGGAGCAAACG
rnacentral:rRNA from 1 species